AGUUUUGUUAUUAAAUGCAUGAAAUCAAAUGUGCAGAGAAAGGAGGUGAAAAAACUUAUGUCCUUGCUAAUUGCGUAUCUUGUUGGCUGACAUGAAUGAAUGUGCUUUAGACCAUCCUAAUAGGAAUUAUACCUGCGUUUCUGUUAUUUCAUGUUGGUUGAUUUCUAUGAGAAUUUAAUGUUGUUUUGAUAAGCCUUCCCAUGGAACAAUUGCUUCCCUCACUUGGGCUGUUUUGAUAAAGCUGAUGUUAUGAACAGAGAAUAUAAAUUAGGUAAGAAACCUAUUUAGGUAAAGAUCCUAAGUUGCCUCUAAUCUCUAUCAAUAUCUAAUUUACAGCUAACAGAAUAAAAACAAAUCAGAUAAUAUCACGUAAUAUAAUCACGUAAUAUAAUCAGGGAGAAAUUCUAGAAGAUUUCCUAAUACAUUCCAACAAUAUGAGGCUUGGAGAAUUAAGAAAAAGGGACGAAGAUGAAUGAGUAGUAGAAAGCGAAGAAGUGCAGAGAUGCCAUCUCUUCUUCAGUCUUGAAUAAAUGAUGAGAUGCGCUUCGACCACCAUUGGCUCUCUGAACGGUUCUAUCCUUUGGAGAUGAGAGACACAAACCUUAUGUCCUUCUGCAACCAGAUGAGAGAGACCUCUAACAUCCUCCUUGAGAAGUUGGUGCACAAUUUGACUUGGCCUAGUGGCAUAAUUUCUUUGGAUGUGUACUAAUUAGAACUGUCUCUAAGCUUUAAACAGUUGAAAAAGCUAGAAUUGUUAGUGACAGUGAGGUUUGCUAUGGAGGAUGCGGGGAGAGUCCCAGAUUGAGGUAAAUAAUAUUUUAUCCUUUGAAAUAAAGAACGAGACGAUAUGUAUCACAAGAGAGAGAAUAUGUAUUACAAGAGAGAGAUUUGAAAUUCGGAAGAAGGCAGGAAAGUAAUUUCGUGGCAGCCUUCUUCUUUAUUAUUAUGGCAAUUGUUGUGAUUGUAUUCAAUCCGCCUAAAAAACUAGCCAAAGCAGAUUUUAUGCUUUUACAUUUUCUUAAUUUCGUUGACGUGGUACUUUAAACGUUAGUGGAAAAACUGGUGACCAAGAAUUUAAACCUAAGUACUCUCUCACAUGAGAAUGCUACCUUUUAGCUUCACCAUCCCUCUUUCGAAGGUUAAUAUGCAUUUAAUUAAACUGAUUUAAUCAAGAAUUUAAUACUUGUAGGAUCCUACGAUGUUGAUCUGAUCUCGACAACUUUAGAAGGAUCCUACUUAGGAUCCCGAUCCUGACAACCUUUGUGUGUGCGCACUUGUGCAUGUGUUCGACAGAGGUUGCCCAGCUUUAAUAUUUAUUGUGCAUUGUAUGGUCUUAGUUAUUUAUUUGACAUGAAAAAUUUGGAUCCACUUGCAAAAUCUCUAAUGGGUGACUCCAGAGUGAAACUACUUUUCUGUCGGGUAAAUAGCUUUCACAUGGAGCUUUUCUUCUCUAUGUUGGCGUACAUCUUGUUCCUGUGCUCAUAUUGCAUGGAUGGAGAUUGAAUGCAGAACAUUAAGAGUGUAAGGGCAAUUUUACAGUUUCUUCAUUAGUUUGGUGUAAGAUUGAUCUCCAAAUCAUAAUGGGCCUAAGAACCUUGAGUGUAGGAUUAGCCUUUCUAAUUUCAACCAAAAGUGUGGAAAGUUUGUCUUUGUUUGCUUCUAUUCUAGAAUCUUGGGGUUGCCUUUUCUUCAUGGAAUGUAUAUCUAGUAUUUGUGCUCAUCUUGCAUGGAUGGAGACUAACUGCAGAACAUUAAGAAAGAGUAAGGGCAAAUUUACAGUUCCUCAUCAGUUUGGUGUAAGAUUGAUCUCUGGAGUAUAAUGGGCCUAAGAGCCUUAAGUGUAGGAUCAACCUCUUAAAUUUCAGCCAAAGAGUGGAAAGUUUCUUUGGUGCUUGUAUUACAGAAUCAUGUGGGCUCCUUUCUUCAGAUGGAAUGAAUAUCUAUUAUUUGUGCUCAUCUUGCAUGGAUGGGGACUGACUGCAGAACAUUAGGAAAGAGUAAGGGCAAUUUUACAGUUCCUCAUCAGUUUGGUGUAAGAUUGAUCUAUGAAACAUGAUGGGCCUAAGAGCCUUGAUUGUAGGAUCAACCUCUUUAAUUUCAGCAAAAAAGUGGAAAAUCUGUCUUUGUUGGCUUCUAUUAUGGAAUCAUGUGGCCUCCUUUUCUUCAGAUGGAAUGAGCAAGUGGUAUUUGUUCUCCAACAGAUUAUAUUCUCUUGAGACUUCAAGUUGUUCAUUCUAUCCAUUGAGGGACCUUGACUAAUUAAUAUACUAUGUCGAGUAGUGUAGUAUAUGGAUAACUUUUCCCUUUCAACUCUGUGAUUGCAUUGCUUCUUCCUAAAUAUAUAUAUAUAUCCUUGGAAGCGAGCCAUAUUUUACCCUGCUUGUUUAAACUUCAUGAUACUUGAAGUCUUUAACAUUAGCAAGAAUCCUUAACAUCCUUGGUUAAUUUGAAAUUUAGCUUUGUACCCACGAUAUGCCUCCCUUUCCAUUUUUGUAGUUUUCCUUAGAUCCUUGGUUUAAUUACACUAAUAUUUUGCCUACAAUGCCCAAUUGGUAAAAGCAUGUACUUAAACUGCUGUGAGUAACCGUUUAUUUUGCAGCUAUUCAUUUUAAUAGCUUAGCUGGACCAUAGUGAUAUUGUUUUGGGCUUUCUCUUGGUUGCUUAAGUCAAAUUGGACAAAAAUUUGGGAUUCUUUGUUCGUGUUUUUUAUCUUUCUUGAUUCCUUGCCAAAUCCGCAAUUGUUGACCAAGAUUGAAUCAAAUGGAGCUUUGCUUCAACUUGGGUGAGUGAUUACGAGUUCUGAUUGUUCCAAAUCCAUUGUUGUUUAUGUUCUGUUGUUUUUUCUGAUUCUGUUCACCCCCCUUUCUGUUGUUUUUUUCUUGCUCUUUGGUUAUGCCCUUACAAGAGUGAGUGCCUUUUUGCCUCUUCAAGAUUCCUGUGAAGAUUUUUUGGUUUGUGAUUGGUAUUUUAUUACCCUUCAAUAUUACGUUUCUUACCUUUAGAAGUUGUGGUUCUUCUUCUUACAUGCUUAUUGGAAGAGAUGGAUUAUAUUUUGCAUUGACAACCAAAACAAAUGGUCAAACACCAAAAAAAAAAAAAAAAAAAACAAAUGCCAAUAGCGGCAAAGGAGGAAGUGUCUUCUUGGUCGGAUAUGAAUGAAGAUUCAACUAACUCCUAUGAGCAUACCAACCACAUGAGAAGUGCCACAUGGGGUUAUUAUAUAUAUUUCAUGUACAUGUUUGCUUUUAAGACUUAUUGGACCUGCUAACCUAUGGCUUCUAACCUGUGAUGGAUGUACUAUCUGCUGAUCAUGUGAUGUUGUUGUGUCAUUGGGUGCAUUGUGCUUGGUUUGGUAGGAAGGAGAGAUGUGUCAUGCAAUUUGGAAAAUGUUGCUACAAGGAUGAAUGCUUGGUAAAUGUACUAUUUAUUGAGUCUGUCUUUAGAGACUUUAAGCUAAUUCUAGUUUUGUUAUUAAAUGCAUGAAAUCAAAUGUGCAGAGAAAUGAGGUGAAUAAACUUACCUCCUUGCUAAUUGCAUAUUUUGUUGGCUGACAUGAAUGAAUGUGCUUUAGACCAUCCUAAUAGGAAUUGUACCUGCCUUUCUGUUAUAAAUGUUGGUUGAUUUCUAUGAGAAUUUAGUGUUGUUCCGAUAAGGCUUCCCAUGCAACAAUUGUUUUCCUCACUUGGGCUGUUUUUAGACAAAUUUAUCAGCAAAUUAAGGCUGACGUUAUGAAGCUCAUUGGUUUGCUGUUUUCUUGCAGAGUAGCAUGGCCUUUAUAUUAAUGCAAGUAUAGCUGAUCAGGACACAGUCCAACGGCUGAUUUUGCUUUUCGGAGUAUCCUUCCUGAUUCAGAGGUUGAUGAUAAUUUCAUUUGGAGAACUUCUCCUACUAUUGAUGUGGAUUCCAUCAAAUCGUUGAGCGAUAUGAAGCUGCUUGGUGUUCCUUUUAGUUGUAGUCCAAGUUGAAUUGUAACUCUCUUUUUAGGUCAAGUGUGAUCAGAGAACUAGUGGGAUAUUUUUGUGAGAAGAGGCUUCGUAGGGUGAUCCUACCAUAUCUAUUGUAAUCAUCUAAGUUGAUUGUACUUCUUUCUUCUUUUCUUUUUAAACCAUGUACCAACUCGGUUGCUAGUGUCCUGUUGCUUUUCUGUUGUAAUCAUCUAGUUCCAAAUGAAGAGAUAUUUGUG
rnacentral:lncRNA from 1 species